rnacentral:rRNA from 1 species
GAUGAACGCUGGCGGCGUGCCUAAUACAUGCAAGUCGAACGAAACUUCUUUAUCACCGAGUGCUUGCACUCACCGAUAAAGAGUUGAGUGGCGAACGGGUGAGUAACACGUGGGCAACCUGCCCAAAAGAGGGGGAUAACACUUGGAAACAGGUGCUAAUACCGCAUAACCAUAGUUACCGCAUGGUAACUAUGUAAAAGGGGGCUAUACUACCGCUUUUGGAUGGGCCCGCGGCGCAUUAGCUAGUUGGUAGGGUAAAGGCUUACCAAGGCAAUGAUGCGUAGCCGAAUUGAGAGGUUGAUCGGCCACAUUGGGACUGAGACACGGCCCAAACUCCUACGGGAGGCAGCAGUAGGGAAUCUUCCACAAUGGGCGAAAGCCUGAUGGAGCAACGCCGCGUGGGUGAAGAAGGUCUUCGGAUCGUAAAACCCUGUUGUUAGAGAAGAAAGUGCGUGAGAGUAACUGUUCACGUUUCGACGGUAUCUAACCAGAAAGCCACGGCUAACUACGUG